GCCUUUCUGGAAGACACUCAAAAGGCAACCAUAGUUACUAAUGGAGCAUGGCAAAGCAUGAGACAGAGGUAUUUAUUACCCAGGCUGGACAAAAAAAGGAAGAACGUGAGAUGGUUUUUGCAUUAAGCUGCAAAUAUUAAUUCCAAAGACUCCCAGCAAUGACUGUGACUUCCAGCAUGCGCCACAGUGAAAGAAGGGCUAACGGUGUGCAUUGUUUCUUCGGAUGUUUAAUCGCUGGAGGAACCUCAGCUGGUCUACAAGGGCCUCGCCGCUGUAACGUUGGAGCAUCCAAAGAGCCCAUUUGGAUGGGAAAGUGGGCCAAGGGUCACUGCAACAGAACCACUCCGAGGAGACCGGGGGUCUUGGCGUUUUAACAACCGUUUCUGGUGAGAAACUGUCUUGUCUGUCUCCCAGACUCCACACCUACCCACCCGAGG